UCCGCGGAGGCAGGCCGGCCGCCCUAACAGCCAUCUGCCGGCUGCCACGGCACAGCCCGGAGGAGCCCGAUAGCCACGGGGCCUGCAUGGCGAUGAGCAGGUGAAACCGCAGGCCGGCCCUGUUUAGCUGCACUCUGGGAUCAAAUUCAGGACCUGUGCUCAUGGGAGGCAGGUGGCAGAACUACAGGGCUAAAUCCCUGGCCCUACACAUAUGAUUUUCAAAGAAGAUAAGGCAAUGAUCUGGAUCCAGAAGCCUGAAAUCAAGGUCUCCGCAGGGCCGCAGUCCCACUCAACGCGCUUGGGGAGAAUCCCUGCUUCGCCUCUUCCAGCUCCUACAGGCUGCGGGCUUCUUCAGCUCACGCUGCAUCAUCUCAGUCUCGGUCCUCGAGCUCACAGGUGCCCUUCUUCGGUUUGUCUUCUCCUUUGGUAUUGAUUAGGUUUCUCCCUCUGCCUCACUCUUAUGAGGACACUUUUCCUUGGGUUUAAGGCUUACUUGGAUAAUCUCAGAAAAGCUCUUCAUGUCAAAACCCUCAGUGAUACCUACGUACAUCUGAAGUGAUCUCCCCCAGGUUUUGGUGACCCUAAGUGACCGUACUUGGUGACCGUAUUCUUCUGAGGGAGACUGUUCAGCUACGAUAUUGUUUGUCACCAAAAUAUGCUGGAAGAUAUUGUACAUUUUGCUGUAUUUUAAUCCAAAUGUAUUUUAAUGCAAAUUACUUCUAUUCACACCUUCGUAAGGAAUAUGUGUACUGAUUCUCAUUAAUCAUUUGUCCACCCACACACGACACACACACCGCUGUAUACUUACCGCUUGUCUUUAUUUGGUACAGUAGGUGGGAGUUUUUAUCUCAUCACUAUGAGAGAAGAUGUUUUCUGGGGUGAGAAGCCGAGAUUAGAAGGAAAGAAGAAAGAAAGAGGUUGGCGGCAUUCCUAGUCCACAUCCCAUAGAUGGGCUUUCCUUCUCCCUCCAGGAAGAGAAAAUACAAAGUAGAAGGCUGUGGGGUUCUCAUGAGGUUCCAUGCCAAAAGCAAGACCAAAAGAGAGUUGUUUUGGAGCCCACUUAUCACAAGUAGAACAGAGACAAAAGAAGCCAAACUUUCUGCCUCUGUAUUUACCUAGUGCACCUCCUCCUCCUUGUGAUUCGAAGCUCCAGGAGCCCCUACAGCUCCUGUCUUGUCCUAGAUGUGAGUCAGCUCAUGCUGUGGCCACUUGCAGUGAAGCAGUGGAAAUGAACAAAGGUGGCAAAAGAAAAGGAGAUGGGGCCACUGGUGUGAAAAUGUGAGCGACUCAUCCCACUGGAGACCUCGAGAAGAAUCCGACAGGCACUCUACUUGGAUAAAGGAUGCCCUAUCCGUGUGUGGAUAGUUGGGUAAAUAAUUCCCUAUUAAA